AUUGAACGCUGGCGGUAUGCUUAACACAUGCAAGUCGGACGGAAACGACAGGGAGCUUGCUCCUUGGGCGUCGAGUGGCGGAUGGGUGAGUAAUAUAUAGGAAUCUACCUCAUAGUUUGGGAUAACUACUCGAAAGAGUGGCUAAUACCGGAUGUGGACUACGGUUUAAAGCGGGGGAUCUUCGUACCUUGCGCUAUGAGAUGAGCCUAUACAAGAUUAGCUAGUUGGUGAGGUAAAUGCUCACCAAGGCGACGAUCUUUAGCUGGUUUGAGAGGAUGAUCAGCCACACUGGGACUGAGACACGGCCCAGACUCCUACGGGAGGCAGCAGUGGGGAAUAUUGGACAAGUGGGGGAACCCUGAUCCAGCAAUACCGCGUGUGUGAAGAAGGCCUUAGGGGUUGUAAAGCUACUUUUGUUAGGGAGAAUGGCACUUAUAGUUAAUACCUAUAGGGGCUGAUUGUUACCUAAAGAAUAAGCACCGGCUAACUCCGUGCCAGC
rnacentral:rRNA from 1 species